UUUUGUAGACUCAUUCCGUUCCGUCAGCAACUUCUCCUCCGAUUGCUUCUUCUUUGAGUCGUACCUUGCUGGUAGCCAGUCUUUCACUUUCCGUUUCCCUGAGGGUGGUACGGGGCUUAGAAGUUGUGGCGAAUUUUUAGAUUUCGGCGGCGUCGGUUGGUUUACCCACUGCAUUCGCUUGGCGAAUGAUCUUUGCUUCGCGGCAAAAGGAAAAGAGGCUCCUACCUAAAGGUAGCUUGUCUCGCCCAGGAGGUGGGAACAGUUUAGAACAAAGUGGCGCGAUUCCCGUAGUAGCGGCGAGCCAAAUGGGAGCAGCCUAAACGACCAGAGCAUGUCGUGAAAACAAGCACACUGGCUAGUUGUAAUUGUUGAGCCUACAGUAGUACAGUAUUUGGAUUCCCCUUUGUUUUCUUUAUUGAUGAUUGAUGAUUGAUGAUAUACAGUACAGUAUUGUACUGUUUAACAUAAUGAUCUAAAUUGUAUUUGCAUCAAAAAUGGCAUUUCUUUACUUUCUGCAUUCNNNNNNNNNNNNNNNNNNNNNNNNNNNNNNNNNNNNNNNNNNNNNNNNNNNNNNNNNNNNNNNNNNNNNNNNNNNNNNNNNNNNNNNNNNNNNNNNNNNNUGUAGCUACAAUUGAGUAAAUCCAAUUGAUCUUGAGUUAAAAUAACGCAAGAACAAGAACAUUCUACUCCUACGUAGUUAAACAUUCUGAAAUGUCUAUUGGAACUUGUACCAACAUGUAACAGAGUAGAAUAUUGCAAUAAAUGAGACAAGAAUGCUCACUGUGACUUGGAAAUGCACAAGAUAACCGAGCACAACUCCGAGAGGGAUUCCUAUCAAGUAAUAACACGCUACAUUCACAUAGGCUACUAUGCUUUGCCAGCCAGCGCCAACAGCAACCCCUGUCCAUUAAGAGGAAAUUGAAAAUUUGUCAGUUACGUUACGUUUCAAUGAACUAUCAUCUAGUUAUCCGCUAAUUCUGACCACUCUUUAUCAGGAUAAAAUGGUGUUAAGAUUUAUGUAAAUUUAUUGUUGAAGCUAAAAGCUAAGAAGUUGCAGAGAAAAGAAAAGGCAUUCCAUUUCAGAAAAAUCAUGAUACAUUUCAAUUAUUUCACAUCAAUAUCUUGUUUAUAUAGACAUAUAGUCAAUAAUUAGAGGAGGAGCCGAGGAGGAAGGUCUGAAUUUAUGGCAAAGUCACACCUCCUCAAAGUAUUUACAAACACACAAAAAUUACGUACUGCAAAUGACAUGAACAUAUUCCUUCCUUGAAGCUAAAGAUAAUAAUUAAGGAGAGAAAAUCACCUGAUAGUACUGGUUGGACACUGUUUAAGAGUAUGGAGAAAGACAAUAGAGGUGAAAGAUCACCAACUGCGUUGGCAACCUCUUCGCUAUUUGUAAAUAUGUAAGCCAGGCGCCCUCGGAAUAAAAUGAAAAAUACAAACAGUACAAUUCCAAUAGACAAAGAUUGGAGCACUGUCACUACAAUUGAAAAUUUCGCAGCUUUUGAGCUCCCUCUUCCAAGUUCAUUGGACACCCGCACACUGGUUUCAGCCAAAUUAUGAAGCACACUUAGAGAAACAAAACCUCCAACAGGGAUUAGAUGAUCAGGGUUCAGUUUAAAAUUUACAUGGUCCGUCUUUUCAAUAUGGUCCGCAUCAGCCAAAAAGCUACCAUGUUACAUAUAACAGUUUUUUGACUGAUGUGGUGGGCAUUUCAAAGAACUAGACUGCACUAGGCAUACAAUAUGACCCUUAAGUAUGAAUAUUGAGUCAAUCUAACAAAAAUUAAGUAUAAUCAGAAAGUACCCUGCUGCAGCCAAGAAACCCAAAGAUAUCAUCAUCUCCCACCCAUUGAUGUUAAGGCUGUAACAAGUUACAAAUUAUUAGUAUCACUUAAAACACAAAUAUAACAAUUUGAAUUCUAUCAAAAAAAAAAAAAAAUAUAACAAUUAAAAUAGACAAUAUAAGCAUUAAUUUUCAUGGAAACUUGAACAUACCAUAUGGAAAGAGCAUCAAUGGCAACUUCAGCAUUUGCCAAGUUUCCUGUCAGAAGAACCAAUAUCGAGUUGUACCAUAGCUCUAGACUGUUGAAAAUGGAGAAAAAAAAAACAUGACUGAAAUUACAACCAAACCUUCUGUGAAAAUAAUAAAUUCAUAUUAUUAUUACAAAUCUGAAUAGUUAUUGGUUUUAGCAAAUUUUGAUGUAAAAAAUGGAACCAUGACGUGACAAUAUUUCCCCAAACCCUGACUACAAGCCAAGCUAGCCACCCUGACCCAUCAGGGACAAAAACAUAUAUGUAGCAACCAGGAAUCUCCAAGUAUAUAAGUAAAGAUGCACGCAUAAGACUUUGUUUGGGCGGCUAGAGUAUGUUGAAGGAAAUUAAACUUACCAUAUCAUGACACCUGACGAAAGAGAGAGCUUAAUGACAGGCCACAGGUCCCUGAAAGCUAGCCAGGAGAAUCCUGUCCAUGUAUCAGGGCACCCGCCGCAAAAAAUAAAAAGAAGCUGACCAACAUUGGGAAUCCAGUUGGCAAUUACAGUGGAUAUCAUUGCUCCAGGGAGACCCAACUUGUACUUAACAGUCAGUAGCCAGGACAAGAUAACGUGAACGAUGAGCGCAGCAGCAGCCAGGUAUAUCAUGACCAUGUUCCUGCUUUGUGCUUGAAGAUACAUCUGACAUGUAAAUGACAGAACAUACGCAAACAUGACAGGAAUUAACCACAGAGCAAUGUACCCAGCUACAUUUGCUAUAUCAUCAUCCUGGCCUAGUAGCUUCAGUAUUGGAGUGGCGAGGAGGAAGAGUGGAAUUAGAAUGAAUGAACAGAUUGUCAAAACAAUCCAGGAUCUCUGAAGGUAAAUGCCCAACAUGUGUUGUUGCUUUGCACCGUAAGCUUGCCCACAGAGUGUUUCAAGUGCACUUGACAUACCCAACUGCAGGUAAUCAUAUAUCCAGCGUACAAUAUGAGCAGGCAUCCAUGAAGUACAGGUAUUGUAACAUUGAGGCAUUCUUUAAGUACAUGGAAUCAGCAAGAAAUGUUAACUUACCAAGAUGCCAGUAAUGAACCUUAAAAGGACAGUUUGAACAAGAGCAAAGGCAGCAAGUUCGGUUGCACCAAUGUGACCAAUAAAAGCUUGGCUAAUGAUUGUGACACCAAAGGUUGAAAAUCUUGUAAAAAUUGCAGGGCCAGCAACAAUCCAUAGCUUUUUCAAUUCGUCUAGUACCUUCCUAUGGAUCUUUAUCUCCUUUUCUUCCUCUUCCUCUUCCUCUUGCUGUUUUCCUCCCAAAAGCCUUGUGUUUAUGUCAUCAUUCUCCAUUUUCUGUUCGAUAUUGUCUGCACAAGCCAUUGAUUUUUAUUUUAUUUUUUUUGUGAUAAAGGAUAUUGACUUAGCUUUCGAGUGGUGGUAAUUAACAUUCUUAGGAUUAUGAAAGACAAAAGUAACUGUUUUGAACUAACAGUCAAACACAAGAACAUAAAAACAGCCAAACAGAAUGAGUUUGAUCGUGCAAGAGUGCAUGUGUAGUUUUGUGUUAUUUGUUGUUGUGUAAUGUAGAGUCUAAAAUAAUGGAAAGAUGAAAUUCUUUAUAAAACAUGCCAAAAUUAGCUACUUCAUUUCACAGAGGAAGCAGACUGGUUAGUGUUGUAAAUAAAUAAAUAAAUGUACUAAAGCUAGUACGUAAUUAAUUAAGUUGUGUUUGAGACCAAAAAUCCAAAACAUACUCUAUUUACUACUACUGUCUGUAAGACUGCAACUACCUCCUUUAGAUUAGAUACCUUUGAUUGAAGACUUAAAUUAAAGAAAAAACAAACGUAAAUACCGGAUCUGGCCGGAUCUUUAAAAAUUAAAAAUAUCCAACCUAAAUCAUCAAUUGGACUAUGCAAAUUCUCUUUAGUAAAUAUUUUGUUGAAUCUAAUCAUUUGCAUAUAUCAAUGUUAGUAUAUGAUAUCUUUUAAUUCAUAUGAUUAUGAUUAUCUGAUAUAAAACUGGGGGCUAAAUUAUAUCUCCCAAAUACUAACCGUUUAUCCAAGUUCCAGGAAAUGUUAAGCUCGAGGAUGAAGACUUUGAACAUUGAUUUUCAUCCCUAUCAUAUGAGCCAUUUAUUUUUCUUAACUUUCAUACCGACUUUGUGUCUCUCAUUCAAACUUGAUAUCAAAAGCUUUUCAAAGGAUAUUGGUACAAGGGUUAGAUUUUUCAUGUGCAUAGAAAUAUCAAAUCAAAUCAACUAAGACCUCAAUGGCAUUAUACAUCUAUCCAAUGUCAACAUUGUCAUCGUGAAACGACAUUCGGAAACGAUUCAAAAGCAAACGCUCAGCUCGCAGAAGCAAGCGCUUACGAAAUUACGGUUUGGUUGAGAUUUCAAAUGCAUAUGAAACUUUUAACUCGAAUUCCACAUCCUUUUUCAAAAAGUCAAUCAUUCUCAAAACCCAUUUUCUACUUCUUAUCAAGCUGACCAAUUUCAGUCAACUUAAUAAGAGGGGGCUAUGUAUAUACCCAUUACCGAGUUCUCUUACUCGGAAUGCCAAACACCGACUUUACACUUAUUUUAUCCGAUUUCGUAUCUAAUCACACUUCACUCAUCUCCAUUCAAAUCCUAAUCUCACUAACUCGGUAUACUAAACACCGACUCUGCACUUAUUUCAUCUGACUUCAAUCGAGUUACAUCACCCGAGCUCAAGCCCAUUUCCAACUUGGCCCACCCGACAUGCAGUACAAAUCAUACUCCAACUCGGCGACUCAUGAGCUCGUGUGGCGCUUACGUGGCAAUGCAUAGUAAUUACAAGAUCAAUAUCAAAUAUAUUCUCAUUAUUAUAUGUCCGUUAUUUUCCGUUACAAAAUCAAUAUGAAUAUCACACAUGUAAUUCCCUAUCUAUAUAAAAGGAUCUAUUUCAUGUGAAAGAGGACAAGCUCUCUCUAGCUCCUCACAAGCUCUCUAGCUUCUCUCAUCUCAUAUCAAUGAAAUACACUUAUCUCUCCCGUGGACGUAGGCACCAUUGCCGAACCACGUAAAAUUCAUGUGUCUAUUUACUUUUAUUUUGCAAUCUCCAUCACGACUUGUCAUUUUUUAUGUAAUGUAUUUACAGUUACUGCAUACUUGCAACACAAAAAGAUUUUAAAAACCUUGGUAGAAAAGAAUAUAUUCGUAAAGUUUUACUAUUAGAGUAAGUGCUUCUAAUCACAUUAAUGCCUAUUUUUGUAGCUAAAAAUACUAAAUCAACUCACGUACACGUGUGGACAGGUGAAUAAGUUGAGCUAGCUCAGCCCAACACACCUCCGGUAUCCACAUAUUUAGAAUAUUUUGUGGAAAAAAAAACCGUAGAGGCGUACAUCUAAUUUCUAAAGAACCUGGGAUAGUAAGUUGUAGCUUGGGAGUAUAAAGACAUGGAUUCAUAUAACCAACUAACAUAGUUUCUAUGUCAUGAGAGGAUCACUGUAUAGUAGCAUAAUAACUGCGAUCAUAACAAUACACACACACUGACACACAAAAAGAAAAGGAAAGGAAGAAAAAAAGUGCAUUCAUAUUAAGGACAGUGAGAGGAAGUACCAAAUGCAAUUUUUCCUUCUCGUGUGUUUGAACAGAUCGUAAAAGGGAGGCAAGGUCAUUCCUACUGAAAUCAGGUUUGAGAAAGAAAGAUUCUAGUUCCAGAACCUGCAUUGAAUGGUUGGAGCAUGUUAGUCUGAGUGGGUUAUAGAAAAGGAAUGCAUAAAGAAGAAAUUGACCUACUUGGUUGGAGCAGGCAUUGAACUCUUGUGUUAUCUCAGCACACAGUUGUUGGUAGGCUGACUCACCUCCAGAAACCAUAUAUUCAAUGAAACCCCUGGCAAAGAAUUUAUAUGUUCAUUAUUACUAAUGCUAAACCAUAUUCUGAUAAAAAAAAAAACAGUGGUUCCCACCCUAAUCUUAGAAUGAAUUAGGAAUUAGUUAGAGAUGAUAAUCUCAAAAGAAAAGAAAAUUAUGAUGAGUAGAGAAGAGUAGGGGGAAGGGGGAAGGGGAGAAGAAGAAGAAAGUAAGGAAGGAAGGAAGUCAUGGAACAGCAAUUUCUUGAAUUAAUACAAGUAUAAUUUAGUUUACCUACGUAAGUUAGCAUAAGCCUCAGCCCUUCGCUGCUGAACACCUAAAAAUCUCUCAAGCAAAUCAACCACCGUGGUGGUGGUGGUUUGGUUAUGAUCUAAAUCCAUAUCCAUAUCCAUCUCCAUCUCCAUCUCUUUUAUAUUUUCUUCUGUUGUUAUUUUGAGUUUAUCGUUGAAACCCUCAGUCUCACUCUCACAAUCCAAAUCCACCAUUCUUCUGGGUUUUUUUUUCUUUCUUCUCUGUUUUUCCUUACUAUUACCGGAUGAUACAUACAUACAAGUAUUUAUCCCAAAAGUGAGUAGAGAUCAGAAUUCAGAAUUCAGAAUUCAGAAUUCAGAUACAGUAUUGGGCUUUAUAUGCGGCCCCGUUUUAUUAAUGAAAUGAUGAAAGGAUCAUCUCAUCUCAUCUCAUCUCAUGGCCCGAUAGUUAAUUAACAAUAUUGGGCCCAAGCCCAAAAUUCCAACACUUACCAUUGCGUUGCCUUGUUGCUAGCGGAAUGCCGCUAUUAGUAAGGAGUGCAUACAUACCCGUUGGCUUUGAAGCAGCUGCAUGGUACUGGCAUUUUGUAGACUCAUUCCGUUCCGUCAGCAACUUCUCCUCCGAUUGCUUCUUCUUUGAGUCGUACCUUGCUGGUAGCCAGUCUUUCACUUUCCGUUUCCCUGAGGGUGGUACGGGGCUUAGAAGUUGUGGCGAAUUUUUAGAUUUCGGCGGCGUCGGUUGGUUUACCCACUGCAUUCGCUUGGCGAAUGAUCUUUGCUUCGCGGCAAAAGGAAAAGAGGCUCCUACCUAAAGGUAGCUUGUCUCGCCCAGGAGGUGGGAACAGUUUAGAACAAAGUGGCGCGAUUCCCGUAGUAGCGGCGAGCCAAAUGGGAGCAGCCUAAACGACCAGAGCAUGUCGUGAAAACAAGCACACUGGCUAGUUGUAAUUGUUGAGCCUACAGUAGUACAGUAUUUGGAUUCCCC
rnacentral:lncRNA from 1 species